GCCUUCUUGGCUCAGUGGUAGAGCGUUGGUCUCGUAAACCAAAGGUCGAGAGUUCAAUCCUCUCAGGAAGCA
rnacentral:tRNA from 1 species